rnacentral:rRNA from 1 species
AACGUAGGAGACAAACGUUAUCCGGAGUUACUGGGCGUAAAGCGUGCGUAGACGGUUAUGUAAGUCGGGUGUGAAAGCCCCGGGCUCAACCUGGGAAUGCCAUUCGAGACUGCAUAGCUAGGGUGCGGAAGAGGGAAGCGGAAUUUCCGGUGUAGCGGUGAAAUGCGUAGAUAUCGGAAGGAACACCAGUGGCGAAAGCGGCUUCCUGGUCCAGCACCGACGUUCAGGCACGAAAGCGUGGGGAGCAAACAGG